rnacentral:lncRNA from 1 species
CGUCCGUCGUCCGUAAACUUUUACAAAAAUCUUCUCCUCUGAAACUACUGGGCCAAAUUUAACCAAACUUGGCCACAAUCAUCAUUGGGGUAUCUAGUUUAAAAAAUGUGUGGCGUGACCCCGCCAACCAACCAAGAUGGCCGCCACGGCUAAAAAUAGAACAUAGGGGUAAAAUGCAGUUUUUGGCUUAUAACUCAAAAACCAAAGCAUUUAGAUCAAAUCUGACAUGGGGUAAAAUUGUUGAUCAGGUCAAGAUCUAUCUUCCCUGAAAUUUUCAGACGAAUCGGACAACCGGUUGUUGGGUUGCUGCCCUUGAAUUGGUUAUUUUAAGGAAAUUUUGCAGUUUUCGGUUAUUUUCUUGAAUACUAUUAUAGAUAGAGAUAAACUGUAAACAGCAAUAAUGUUCAGCAAAUUAAGACCUACAAAUAAGUCAGCAAGAUGAAAAUUGUCAGUCAUUCCCUUAAGGAGUUAUUGCCCUUUAUAGUCAAUUUUUAACAACUUUUCGUCAUUUUUUGUAUCUUGUACAAAAAUCUUCUUCUCUGAAACUACAUGGCCAAAUUUAACCAAACUUGGCCACAAUUAUCAUUGUGGUAUAUAGUUUAAAAAAUGUGUCCGAUGACCUCGCCUUCCAAACAAAAUGGCUGACAUGGCUAAAAUUAGAACAUAGUGGUAAAAUGCAGUUUUUGAUUUAUAUCUUUGAAACUAAGACAUUUAGGGCAAAUCUGUCAAGAUUUUAAUGUCUAUCAGAAUAAGAUCUAUUCCCUCACAAAUUUUCAGAUAAAUCGGACAACUUGUUGUUGGGUUGCUGCCCUAAAAUUGAUAAUUUUAAG